AUUGAACGCUGGCGGCAGGCUUAACACAUGCAAGUCGAGCGGAGAUGAGGUGCUUGCACCUUAUCUUAGCGGCGGACGGGUGAGUAAUGCUUAGGAAUCUGCCAUUUAGUGGGGGACGACAUUCCGAAAGGAAUGCUAAUACCGCAUACGUCCUACGGGAGAAAGCAGGGGAUCUUCGGACCUUGCGCUAAAUGAUGAGCCUCAGUCGGAUUAGCCAGUUGGUGGGUUAAAGGCCUACCAAGGCGACGAUCUGUAGCGGGUCUGAGAGGAUGAGCCGUCACCCUGGGACUGUGACACGGCCCUGGCUCCUACGGGAGGCAGCAGUGGGGAAGAUCGGACAAUGGGCAGAAGCCUGAUCCAGCCAUGCCGCGUGUGGGAAGAAGGCGUUUUGGUUGUAAAGCACUUUAAGCGAGGAGGAGGGUACUAGUACUAAUACUACUGGAUAGUGGACGUUACUCGCAGAAUAAGCACCGGCUAACGCUGUGCCAGCCGCCGCCGUAACAC
rnacentral:rRNA from 1 species